GACAGAGGUGCCGAGCGUUAGGCGGAAUCACUGGGCUUAAAGCGUGUGUAGGUGGAUGCCUAAGUACCUUGUGAAAUCCCACGGCUUAACCGUGGAACUGCUUGGUAUACUGGGUGUCUUGAGCCAGCUAGGGGCUACCGGAACAAAUGGUGGAGCGGUGAAAUGCGUAGAUAUCAUUUGGAACGCCAAUGGUGAAAACAGGUAGCUGGACCGGUACUGACGCUGAUGCGCGAAAGCGUGGGGAGCAAACAGG
rnacentral:rRNA from 1 species